UUACACCGCGAAACCCUCAUAGCCAAGACUUUACCGGCAGACCUCGUUCCUGUGUUGGAUGACGUUGUGUGCAUGGUAAACUUUGUAAAGUCACGACCUGUGAAAACUCGCAUAUUUGCGGCUUUAUGUGAGGAAAUGGGAGCGGAGCAUAAAGCCUUGCUGUUUCAUACGGAGGUCCGAUGGUUGUCGCGCGGCAAGGUGCUGGCCCGUGUGUAUGAGCUGCGAGAGGAACUUAAAGUGUUUCUGACAAACGAGGGGUUCGAUUCCGCAAAGCCGCUUGCAAGUGAUGAGUGGUGUGCAAGGCUGGCAUACCUGGCAGAUAUUUUUUAUCAUCUGAAUGAACUGAACACACGAAUGCAAGGCCGAAAUGAAAACCUGCUUGCAAGCACAGAUAAAAUAAAUGGAUUCCGUUCCAAGGUGCAACUCUGGCAGCAACAUGUGGAAAGUGGCAAUCUUGAAAUGUUCCAACUCACCAAGAAAUGGCAAGAUGUUAAUACUGCUGCACUGUGUGAGAUAAUAGUUAAACAUUUGAAAAUUCUUGAGCAGAAGAAGUCAUUUUAUUUCUCUUUAGCCACCACAGAGUACCUUGACUGGGUUAGGGAUCCAUUCAGCUCAGCAUCAGCUGUUGGAAAGGACAUGACUUUACAGGAGCAGGAGGAACUAACUGAACUGAAACAAGAUCGUGGUUUAAAGCAGGGCU